GUGGGGAAUAUUCCGCAAUGGACGAAAGUCUGACGGAGCAACGCCGCGUGAGUGAUGAAGGUUUUCGGACUGUAAAGCUCUGUUGUUUAGGACGAAAGUGCCUGUUGCGAACAGUUACAGGUAUUGACGGUACUAAACGAGGAAGCCACGGCUAACUACGUGCCAGCAGCCGCGGUAAUACGUAGGUGGCAAGCGUUGUCCGGAAUUAUUGGGCGUAAAGAGCAUGUAGGCGGAGAUUUAAGUCUGUUGUGAAAAUGCGGGGCUCAACCCCGUAUUGCGAUGGAAACUGAAUUUCUUGAGUGCAGGAGAGGAAAGGGGAAUUCCCAGUGUAGCGGUGAAAUGCGUAGAUAUUGGGAAGAACACCAGUGGCGAAGGCGCCUUUCUGGACUGUGUCUGACGCUGAGAUGCGAAAGCCAGGGUAGCGAACGGGAUUAGAUACCCGGGUAGUCC
rnacentral:rRNA from 1 species